AAAGUUUCCUCCAGGCGGCCGCUUUCUGCUGGGAACGCUCUCUACUCAUUGGAAACAAUUGAAAAAAAAAUACUAGGUGAACACGGGGGCUUUUGCAAAUUCCCCAAUUGUGGGAAUCUCGACUGCUUCAUUUGUGGUUGUGGGGGACUGCCUGUGCGCUCUCCUUUU
rnacentral:snRNA from 1 species